GCUGACACGUGGCCGACCGGAACCAGAACCCCAAAUGCUGGAGUCCAAAUCCAGGCUCUCUCCUUUCAACCUGGGCGAUCGGGUAGUUCCCUCAACUGUUGAAUUUCUUCUGAGCAUUCCCAAGCGUGCUGGCCUCCUGAGAAGCCCCUAAGCAUCCUUCGAGGGUGGCUGCUUCCCAGACAGUUUGGAAUUCUUUUGAGACAGGCAGAUAUUCAUUACAACAGUGACGCAUGCAGAAGAAAUGAGUGGGAGAGAGAAGUUUGCCCACAGACAGGAAAGCUGAGUGGAGGUCUCUCAAUGCCUGUUCAAAACAGACACCUACAGACACCCCUAUGGCCCACCUAAGGCACAGGUGUCCUGUGUUCCUUUCUGCAUAUAUCCAACAGCAACGGGUCGUUCAACCCUCCCUGGAGAAGCUUCUAUUAGCAGCAAAUGGUGAUUAAUGCAAACAACUGGCCAAAGUAUAGAGAAUAAAAGACUAUCGAAUACAGCCC